GACGAACGCUGGCGGCGUGCUUAACACAUGCAAGUCGAACGAAGAGCGACGGAAGCUUGCUUCUAUCAAUCUUAGUGGCGAACGGGUGAGUAACGCGUAAUCAACCUGCCCUUCAGAGGGGGACAACAGUUGGAAACGACUGCUAAUACCGCAUACGAUCUAAUCUCGGCAUCGAGGAUAGAUGAAAGGUGGCCUCUACAUGUAAGCUAUCACUGAAGGAGGGGAUUGCGUCUGAUUAGCUAGUUGGAGGGGUAACGGCCCACCAAGGCGAUGAUCAGUAGCCGGUCUGAGAGGAUGAACGGCCACAUUGGGACUGAGACACGGCCCAGACUCCUACGGGAGGCAGCAGUGGGGAAUCUUCCGCAAUGGACGAAAGUCUGACGGAGCAACGCCGCGUGAGUGAUGACGGCCUUCGGGUUGUAAAGCUCUGUUAAUCGGGACGAAAGGCCUUCUUGCGAACAGUUA
rnacentral:rRNA from 1 species